GGAAGGCAGAAAGUGAUAAACUUACUGAUUUUGUGUUUCUUCUACUUCCUUAUUGCUUCUGCCCUGACCCAUUUAACUUCUGCCAUUGUUUCCCACUGACGGUGUGCUACGUCAGAGGCUGCAGCUGGCUGCCUAUGGGACAGCAUUCAGUUUGGCGCGUUCCAAGGCAGAUGACCCUGGUUUACAGUUGCUCGUAUCAAAGACACUGCAUGCUACAGACAGAGCAGACUGCAGCCAACAGAGUGCUUCUCAGAUACUGAUGGAGAGCGAAAAUGCAAAAGAAUAACUGCAGCAUCUAAAGGGCAAUUUUCCAAGUACAGGAGAAGAGGCAAACUGCAAGGAGAGGAGCCUUCGUGAGUAAAAAUUAAAGAAUGAUUGUGCUUUAUUGAGGAAAGUGACUAAGACUUUAUGUAAUGACUUUGCUGGUGAAUUACUAUAAAGUGUGUGAGAACUGCAACAAGGUCAUACUCGGCAGGGAGCUGACUCCCUGUUAGACCCACUUCCAAAUGAAACAGUGUUUUCUGCUUCCAGAAGUGCCAGAGCUGAGCUGAGCAGUGGCAGCAGUGCACGUACCCAAGGUGUGAUGGGGCAGUGCCAUGGCAAAGCCAGGCUCUGAGCAGGAAGCACACUGCUACAGUUCUUAGACAAUACAAUCAAGGAGGGAAUAUAUUUAUAUUGGGAUCAGUUAACGAUGCAAUUAGCUAACUAAUCAGAUGGGCACAUUUUUCACGCACUUUCUAGCAUAGAAGGAAAGAUGGGGUACUAUGUCAAAAGGCUGUGGUUACAUCACAGGGACCAAUAACAAAUUUAUGAACUUCUUUGCGUCAUAAUUAAUCUAUCUGUAUCAGAUGACUGAUUGCUCAUUUUGAUAUGUGUAUGUUCAGUAAAGGGCAUGCA
rnacentral:lncRNA from 1 species